UUAGGGUGUGUUUGAUAGGGUUUAUUAUGUGAGAUAGAUAAUAUUUCUCACCAUUUCUAAGUGUUUGAUAGGCUAUCUCAAUAAUCUUCCAGGCCCGCAAAAGAGGUGAAGCCCGCACCAAAACACUGUAGCAUUUAGAAAAUACAUCCGCCCCACCCCACCGGAUCGGUUUUCUCACUUUGAACAGUGAUUGAGAUUAGGUUUUGUGUUUCCAAUUUUCUCCCUGAAGUUAGUUCAAAAUCGGUACACAGCGAAGAUGAGUUCUUCAGUCGAAUCCCCUUGAAUAUUUGUUUGCUUUUGAUACAAAUCUGAAAGGGGCGGUGGAAGCUUACCGGGAGGAGAUAAGAGCUGCUCGCGACGGCGACAGGGAGACGGGACGCGAUUUUAUUUUGGGUUGGGGGCGACGGGAGACAUGAAUUUGAGGGUGGGGCAUGGCGCCGUUGGAGGGAGGAAGGCUGCGAAUAUUUUUUUUGCAGACAAAGAUGGGGGAGGCGUAAAUUGGCUGAGGAAGAAAGGGUUGGGGUAGAGGGGGGAGGUGUCUGCACAACAAAGGGAGAAAGGGGUGGUGUGUGUGGGUGGGGGGCAGGUGUCUGCACAACAAAAGGGGUGAGGGGUGGGGUGUUACGUGUUCUACCAGUACUUUUUUUCUUUUUUUUUCCCCAAUUAUGCUAGGAUAAAUUUUGUCAUUUGUUGUAAUAGUAGAGGGCAUUCAGGUAAUUUCAGCAUUUAAUAUGUCUGUUAAAUUAUUUUAGCAGAAUCUAUCAAACAUCUAAUUCCAGUUAUACAUA